AAAUUCUAGUAAAGGUGGAGUCAGAAACACGAAAUUAUGCUUCUUUCUAUGGAAUCGGAAUUUCUGUAAUUCCUACAGUUUUAACCCCUUAUAUCCAUGUACCUAAGGCCCGUCAGGCAGUAGAAGUUGGUCACUCACACAGCCAACCUUCAAGGGCUUGCUAAGUAGGUCACGUAUAGUAAGUUCCCCAGUCUCCAGGUUUGAACACCCACAGCAAUUUACCAAGAACCCAUUAAGAGAUAAGGAAUAAUUGGUCACUCAUAUAAUCCAAUUCUCAUUUGUCAACCCUGGCCUCAAAGUUCAUAUAAAAGCUAGAUUUCUUUCUCCUAAUUCCAUUAAGCUAAUCAAAACCAGACUUUUUUCUCCUUAACUCCAUCAAGCUAAUCAAACUCCAGUAGUUACAGGAUAUCUUGACAUUUAGCAGGCAUUUCCAGAGACCCAAUGCAACACAGAGAGAUGGCGAUGAAUUUGGCUCUGAUAUUAGUGGGUUUGUUAUGGGCAAGAGCCAUGGCUCAGUCUAGUUGUUCGAACGUCAUAAUAAGCAUGUCACCAUGCCUGA
rnacentral:misc_RNA from 1 species